rnacentral:rRNA from 1 species
AACGCUAGCGGCAGGCUAACACAUGCAAGUCGAUGGGUAACAGGAGUAGCAAUACUCGCUGACGACCGGCGCACGGGUGAGUAACGCGUAUGCAACCUACCUUUAACUGGGGCAUAGCUCCGAGAAAUCGGGAUUAAUACCCCAUAAUGUUACAAUUUCGCAUGUUAUUGUAACUAAAACUCCGGUGGUUAAAGAUGGGCAUGCGUGUCAUUAGCUUGUUGGUGAGGUAACGGCUCACCAAGGCUACGAUGACUAGGGGGUCUGAGAGGAUGAUCCCCCACACUGGUACUGAGACACGGACCAGACUCCUACGGGAGGCAGCAGUGAGGAAUAUUGGUCAAUGGGCGAAAGCCUGAACCAGCCAUGCCGCGUGCAGGAUGACAGCCCUAUGGGUCGUAAACUGCUUUUAUACGGGAAGAAACCCCUGAUCGUGAUCGGGGCUGACGGUACCGUAAGAAUAAGGAUCGGCUAACUCCGUGCCAGCAGCCGCGGUAAUACGGAGGAUCCUAGCGUUAUCCGGAUUUAUUGGGUUUAAAGGGUGCGUAGGCGGAAUAAUAAGUCAGUGGUGAAAUCCUGCAGCUUAACUGUAGAAUUGCCAUUGAUACUGUUAUUCUUGAAUGCAGUUGAGGUAGGCGGAAUGUGUAAUGUAGCGGUGAAAUGCUUAGAUAUUACCCAGAACACCGAUUGCGUAGGCAGCUUGCUAAACUGUGAUUGACGCUGAGGCACGAAAGCGUGGGUAGCAAACAGGAUUAGAUACCCUGGUAGUCCACGCCGUAAACGAUGAUUACUCGAUGUGUGCAAUAUAUCGUACGCGUCUGAGCGAAAGCAUUAAGUAAUCCACCUGGGGAGUACGGCCGCAAGGUUGAAACUCAAAGGAAUUGACGGGGGCCCGCACAAGCGGAGGAACAUGUGGUUUAAUUCGAUGAUACGCGAGGAACCUUACCUGGGCUUAAAUGUAUUCUGACGUUCCGGGAAACUGGAAUUCCCUUCGGGGCAGAUUACAAGGUGCUGCAUGGUUGUCGUCAGCUCGUGCCGUGAGGUGUCGGGUUAAGUCCCAUAACGAGCGCAACCCCUAUUGUUAGUUGCCAGCGGAUAAUGCCGGGGACUCUAACGAAACUGCCAGUGUAACUGUGAGAAGGUGGGGAUGACGUCAAUCAGCACGGCCUUACGUCCAGGGCUACACACGUGUUACAAUGGUCGGUACAAAGGGCAGCUACCACGCGAGUGGAUGCUAAUCUCCAAAACCGAUCUUAGUUCGGAUUGAAGUCUGCAACUCGACUUCAUGAAGCUGGAUUCGCUAGUAAUCGCACAUCAGCCAUGGUGCGGUGAUACGUUCCCGGG